UCAGGACCGCUUGUGGCAUUCGAUUUUAACUGGAAUAUUGCUUAUUCAUUUUUCAAAAGCAGCUCUACCUACCGGAUGUGAUGACGGAACUCAUAGUUGCCCCGCCAACUCUGCUUGUACGUCAGAUACUUGUGUUUGCAGUGACGGUUUUAAGCUCAAUACCGCCGCAGACGGUUGUGUGGCAAAAGCGAAAGUGACAGAUACAGACUGUACAAAAGGCACUGCAGACCAGUGUACAGGUAUUGAACAUGCAGAAUGUAAUAAUGCUGCAACUAGUGCUUAAUGUAAAUGUUCUAAUGGCUAUGCAGCGGAUAGAAAGACUGGCACUUCUUGUUUUAAAACUGUUAGCAGCAUAACUUGUACAGCGGAUGGAAAAGAAUGUGAUGUCAUUAAAAACUCACAUUGUGUGUCCACAAAGUGCCAAUGCGACGAUGGCUUUGCAAUGAAUGUUGAUAUUUGUGCGGCAGAAAGUUCAGCUAUAUCUCUUCACUUUGGCAGUUUGACGUUGUUCUUCUUGGUUUCAACUAUGGUUCGGCACUUGUUCUGAUUGUGAGUCAGGAAGAUACUUCUUUUGGUGAUUUUUUUUUCAAACUUGUGUAUCGUGUGUACUUCUUUAGAUUUUUGAUGUGUAUGAUGUAUAAUUAAAAUGAUUCAUUGUUGAUCAAGAGAAGAACUGAACUGCUGAACAGUUUUUGUAUUAGUUUUAUUUUUAGUUUUUUUUCUUUCUUUUUUAUUCCUAAAGAUUGUUAACCUUACAUUUUAAGUUUAAAGUUAAUUAUGCCUAGUAUUCAAAUGCAAAUUGACAUUGAAUAUGAAAUAUUAGUCAGUCACCAUGAAUAAAGAUAUUAUUUUGAAAUAUUUAGUCUAUUUAUCAUUAAAUAUACUAAUUAAACUCAAAUUGACAGCGAAAAAAAUGCAUUAUGUUACUUUAAAGCUCUAUAUUAAACAAAACAUUUUAGUGUUUGUAUAUUAAAAACAUAUAUAUACAUGCAUAUAUUAACUGUCUAAAUAUUCUUUUUUGCUUGUAACAUUGAAUUAAACUUUUAAAAGCUUCAUGUUGACAUAUACAUUUAAUUUAACCCCACUGUCAAGUUAAGCAUGUUAAAUAGAGAAAUUUGCUUGCUUUCAAUUGGUCAUUGCUAAUGUAACAGACACAGAUAGCACUAUUGACAUAAAUAGAAAUUUGUCAAUUAAUUUUUUUCAAUUUAAAUAAUGAUUUGUUAAACAUUUUGUAAUAAGAUUAAUUGCAUUGAAUUUGAAGAAAUUGGUUUAUUGAAACUACAAAUGCUAUUCUUUCCUUAUCAUGGAAAUUCUUUAACGAUAAGCAGUUGUUGACCAAAUAAUAAUUUAUACAUAUUACUAUAAUGAUCAAGAAUUUGUUCAGAAGAAAUGUGCGAGUACAACAAUAAAUAGCAAAUAUUGUUUUAUAAAAUACAUAAGGAUUUAAUGCAUUACACAGGCUAUCAUCCAAAUCACGAUCAAAUGUUAAUUUAAAUGCAUGAAACACAUUGUACACUCAAUAAAAUGUUGUUACUGAAAGCA